GGAUUGCCCUAGUAACGGCGAGUGAAGCGGCAACAGCUCAAAUUUGAAAUCUGGCUCUUUCAGGGUCCGAGUUGUAAUUUGUAGAGGGUGCUUUGGCGUUGACUGUGGUCUAAGUUCCUUGGAACAGGACGUCGCAGAGGGUGAGAAUCCCGUAUGUGGCCGCCAGUCUUCGCCGUGUAAAGCCCCUUCGACGAGUCGAGUUGUUUGGGAAUGCAGCUCUAAAUGGGAGGUAAAUUUCUUCUAAAGCUAAAUAUUGGCCAGAGACCGAUAGCGCACAAGUAGAGUGAUCGAAAGAUGAAAAGCACUUUGGAAAGAGAGUCAAAAAGCACGUGAAAUUGUUGAAAGGGAAGCGCUUGCAGCCAGACUUGCCUGUAGUUGCUCAUCCGGGCUUUUGCCCGGUGCACUCUUCUAUAGGCAGGCCAGCAUCAGUCCUGGCGGUUGGAUAAAUGUCUGCACAAUGUACCUCUCUUCGGGGAGGACUUAUAGGGCAGGCGGCAUACAACCAGCCGGGAUUGAGGUCCGCGCAUCUGCUAG
rnacentral:rRNA from 1 species